UCACUCUGGCUUUUCUUCAACGUAUGAUUCUUUCGCCUUUACUAAAGAAUUCCGUGGAGAGGAGCAGUUCAAUGAGUCUUG
rnacentral:snRNA from 1 species